AAACUGCGGAGGUGGCGAAUCCCCAAGGCGGGGCCUCCCCAAUCCAUACACCGCCUUCGGGGCCUGAGACCCUGAGAGCCACGCCUGGCCCUGGGACUUCGCCCUGACCCCGCUCCUCCUGUGCCAAGCGCUCUGUCUCAGUGUUUCCCUGAGUCUUGGCCCAGGAGCUGUCUGAGAAACCAGGAAGAAACCCUCGGCAUGGGCCCUGUCCCUCUCCCUUCACUUUUCAUCCAGGAAUCUCCGUCCCUGAACUGGACUCCCUGUCCACCUGGACUCUUCUAGAAGAAAAGCCACCCACGGAGUUUGGUGACAGAGAGUGAGCUUGCUCUGGGAAUGGAGUGGUCCUGCUCCUGGGAGUCGGAGUGUGUCAUCUCUCCACUUAAAACACUCCAGUGUCUCCACCUCGGUCUUGAGAAACUUCUGGAGUGUCAGGCACGUGAGCAUAUGAGGGGAUAUCUGGUUUAUCGUAGGGACUAAAUUAAUUUUUGUCGACUGAAUGAAUGAAAUAUGAGUGUAUUAAAUUGCAUUACAGAUAAUUAUAAAGUGCAAAACACGGAAAAAGUUCAGAAAAUUUUUAUUUUAUGUAACUAGUGUGCAUAUCAAUUCAUCAAUUCAUUCGUGCACUACCAUGCCUGGCGAAACAACACCCAUUUAUCUGCUUAUAGUUCCUUGAUCAGAAAUCUGGGCAAAAUUGUGGAUGGAAUCUCUCUUCUGGGCUUCCAAAAGCUGUGUUUUCAUUUUGAAUACUCCUUCAGGCUUAUACAGAGGUGGCAGAAUGCAGUUUCUGGCAGUUGUAAGACUGAGGUCCCUGUUCCUUGCUGGCUGUCAAUGUAGAGAACAGGGAGGGCUGUGCUCGAUUCCUGGUCCUCACCAGCAUUCUUUCCUACACAGCCCCUUCAUUUUUUAUUUUAUUUAUUUAUUUUUUGGAGAUGGAGUCUUGCUCUGUAGCCCAGGCUUGGGUGCAGUGGCCGGAUCUCGGCUCACUGCCAGCUAUGGCUCCCAGGUUCACGCCAUUCUCCUGUCUCAGCCUCCCAAGCAGCUGGGACUACAGGCACCCGCCACUACACUUGGCUAAUUUUUUUUUUUUUUUUUUUUUGUAUUCUUAGUAGAGACAGGGUUUCACCAUGUUAGCCAGGAUGGUCUCGAUCUCCUGACCUCAUGAUCCGCCCGCCUCAGCCUCCCAAAGUGCUGGGAUUACAGGCGUGAGGCACCGCACCCGGCCCACAGCCCUUUCAUUUUCAAAGCCCAUGCUGGAGGAAACCCCUCAUGCUGAGUCCCUCUCACACUGUGAGUCUCUAUGCUCAGGAAGAACCCAGUCCUUUCAAGGUCUCACCUGAUUAGGACAGUCCAAGCAGGAUAAACCCAGCCUAAAGUCAACUAAUUGAGACCCUUAAUUAUAUCCACUAACUCCCUUCACAGCAGCACCUACAUUAGAGUUGAUUGAAUAACUGGAGGAUGGUGAAUGACCAGGAGCUGGUUGUUGAGGGCAUAAUAGAAUCAGCCUAGCAAGGGUUGGAUCUUCCUUUUGUGUUUACUUCGGACACAGUUGGAAAUUGAAGUUCAAGUAAAGUGAUCAUUGUGAAUGGUCAUAAAAUACAUCCUCUUCAGCCAUGGAAAUUCUCCUUACCUUUUAAAACUAAGUUACAUGUUUAAUAUCUUAUAAUUAAUUUACGCCAGGUAUGGUGGCUCACGCCUGCCAUCCUAGCACUGUGGAAGGCAGAGGAAGGCAGAUUUGUUGACUCCAGAAGGUCAAGAUCAGCCUGGGCAAAACCCCCAUCUAUACAAAAAAUUAGAAAAUUAGCCAGGCAUAGUAGUUCAUGAUGGUAGUCCCAGCUACUCAGGAGGCUGAGAUCAGUGGGUCCCUUGAACCCAGGAGGUCGACACUGCAGUGCAUGGUGAUCAUGCCACUGCACUCCAGCCUGGGUGACAGAGCGAGACCAUGUCUCAAAAAUAAUAAUGAUGAUGAUGAUACAUUUAAAGCAAAUGCAAUUUAAUGUGUAAUAAUACAUCCUCUCUUGUGAAAAUGUGUUAUUUAUUUACUAUUGCAUAACAAAUUAUGUAAAACUUAGCUUAAAACAACAAAUAUUCCUCAUCUGCCACAGUUUCCAAUGGUCAGGAGUCCAGGAGAGGUUUCCCUGAGUGCUUCUUGCUCCGGGCCUCUCACAAGGUUGCAGUCCAAUUGUCAGCCAAGGGCUGCAUCAUCUGAGGGCUUCACUGGGGCUGAGGAUUCACAUGAAACAUGGAUCAGUCACAUGGCUGUUGGAAAAGGCCUAGUUCUUUGUUGUCUGGUCCCGGAAGGCCUCAGUUCUCAGCCACAUGGACCUUCCUGCAGGGCUGCUUGUGGCACAGCAGCUGGCUUCCCCCAGAGCUCAUGAUCCCAGAGACAGAGAGAGAGAAGGUGGAAGCCGCAGUGAGUUUUAGGUUCUACACCCAGAGUUACAAACCAUUAUGUCAGCAUUAUUCUAUAAGUUAGAAGUUAUAUUAGUCCAUUCUCACACUGCUAUGAAGAAAUACCUGAGACUGGGUAAUUUAUAAAGGAAAGAGGUUUAAUUGACUCACAGUUCUGCAUGGCUGAGGAGCCUGCCCCAGGAAACUUACAGUCAUGACAGAAGUGGAAGCAAACACAUCCUUCUUCACAUGAUGACAGGAGAGAGAAGUGCAGAAUGAAGCAGGGAAAAGCCCCUUAUAAAACCAUCAGAUCUCAUGAGAAUUCCCUCAGUAUCACGAGAACAGCAUGGGGGCACCGCCCCCAUUAUCCAAUCACCUCCCAUGUGGUCCCUCCCCCAAUAGGUAGCGAUUACAAUUCGCAUAACAAUUCAAGAUGAGAUUUGGGUGGGAACACAGAACCAGGCCAUAUCAGAAGUGCCUCAUUAAGUCCAAGCCACACUCAGGAGAGGGAAUUAAGAUGCACCUCUGGAAGGGAACAGUAUCAAAUGUUUUGAAUAUAUGUUAAAAGCAAAAUUAUAACUAUUGUUUCAGGUUUUUGAAAAUCAAAGACUUCUUUUAUCUAAUUAUUUUUCAUUAACUCUUUCAGCUUGUCUUUUUCUUUAAGCUUGUCUUUUAAUUUAAUUUUUUUUAAGUUCCAGGGUACACGUGCAGGAUGUGCAGGUUUGUUACAUAGGUAAACAUGUGCCAUGUUGGUUUGCUGCACCUGUCAACUCAUCACCUAGGUAUUAACCCUGGCAUGCAUUAGCUAUUUUUGCUAAUGAUCCUCCCACCACCACCCUGCCCCAAUAGGCCCCAGUGUGUGUUGUUCCUCUCCCUGUGUCCAUGUGUUCUCAUUACUCAGUUCCCAAUUAUAAAUGAGAACAUGUGGUGUUUGGUUUUCCGUUCCUGUGUGAGUUUGCUGAGGAUAAUGGCUUCCAGCUUCAUCCAUAUCCCUGCAAAGGACUUGAUCUCAUUCCUUUUUAUGGCUGCAUAAUAUUCCAUGGUGUAUAUGUACCACAUUUUCUUUAUCCAGUUCAUCAUUGAUGGGCAUUUGGGUUGAUUCCAUGUGUUUGCUAUUGUGAAUAGUGCUGCCAUGAAUGUAAACAUGCACAUAUCUUUAUAAUAGAAUGAUUUGUAUUCCUUUGGGUAUAUACCCUGUAAUGCGAUUGCUGGAUCAAAUGGUAUUUCUGAUUCUAAAUCUCUGAGGAAUCACCACACUGUCACUGUCUUCCACAAUGGAUUAACCAUUUACUUUUCCACCAACAGUGUAAAAGCAUUCCUAUUUCUCUGCAACCUCGCCAGCAUCUGUUGUUUCUUGACUUUUUAAUAAUUGCCAUUCUGACUGACAUGAGAUGGUAUCUCAUUUGUGGUUUUGAUUUGCAUUUCUCUAAUGAUCAGCGAUGUUGAGCUUUUUUUCAUAUUUUUGUUGGCCACAUGUAUGUCUUCUUUAGAAGUGUCUGUUCAAGUUCUUUGUCUACUUUUUAAUGAAGUUUUUUUUUCAUGUAAAUUUGCUUAAGUUCUUUGUGGAUUCUGAAUACUAGACUUUUGUCAGAUGGAUAGACUGCAAAAUUUUUCUCCCAUUCUGUAGGAUGUCUGUUCACUGUGAUUGAUGAUAGUUUCUUUUGCUGUGCAGAAAAAAAUGCCUAAUCAAAUUGCUUUUCAUUUACAAAAAUGUGAAUCUCAUACUUCAGUCAACUUUAUUUUACUUUAGUAAAAAUUAUUAGCAUGAUGCCAAUAAUUUUGGCUUGAUGCUGUAGCCCGAAAUGGUUAGUUCUAAUUGAGAAACAAGUUUUUUUCAAAAACUGGCUAUUUGAUGGGCAUUCUAUAAUAAACUUAACAUCUUUUGUUGUGGUAUUGAAUGAGAUGUGAUAGAAGUGAUUUGGACACCACUAUGAUUCUAAAUAGCGCUGCUAUUACAUGCUUCUGAAUUUUUUUUUCUUUUUAGCAGUCCUAUUCUGUUUUCCAUUCAUAUUUGCUAUUCCAUCACUGGGUAUUCCUCCCUACUCUUUUCAUGUUUCAUUUAUUUUGAUCAAUGAUGUGCAUUUCCAAUCUGUAAAAGUUUAUUUCAGUUUAAUGUGUGGUAAAAUGUAACAUCAAAUCUUUGGAAGAUGAAAUUAUCUUGCACA